CUCUCCUUGGCCUCCCAAAGUGCUGGGAUUACAGCGUGAGCCACCGCUUCCGGCCCAUAUUACAGUUUCAUAGUGUUUUCGAGGACUCGUGGUAGGAGAAAUGUGUCUUCUUUGCACUUGGGGUCUCAAUGUCUCAGUCCUGCCCUAUGUCCUGAGACCCCAAGAGGCUUUCCCAAGGUCACGCAGGGAAUCCGCAGAGAGGCAGGGCUGGACUCCAGCAUCCUGACUCCGCAGUCCGUGCUCUGUGCUGCAGAGACCUGUUGCGUAACACUAAGUAACUGUGGAUUGUCUAACCUUUUAUGAAAUUUCCAGUUGGUCUUUUGCUACCGGCCAGCAGUCCAGUUGGUGGGAGUGAUGAUGUCGGUCUUCUGGGACGUCCAGUGGACAGAUUUUCCCCAGGUUUCUGGAUGCAGCCCCAACUAGCAAAAGUGCUACACUCCUGCACCGGAGACACUGACACAGAGGUCACGAAAAUGCUCACACAAGACGUGCAAGAAUUGUUCGCGCUCCGCACACGGAACAAGGGCCCUGCCUCCCCCUCCCCCAAUCUUCGCCCUGGUGGCCAGGCCCUGGGCUCCGCCCCUUCCCCACCAGACCGGGGGAGGGGUCCUCCUCGGCAUGGAGGUAGUGGAUGCUGGGCUGUGGAGACGUCGGCAGAAAGAGGCGGGAUGGCUGGGCGGCGGGGCGGAUGCUGGCGGCCCGGGUCUGGCCACCUGGGUCAGCCGCACGCCCCCGCCCCGGGCUGGCCGGACCUCGUAGCCCAGGUCCCACCACGCCGUGAAGUUUGCGGAAAGUUUUGCAGUUGCUUCCCCGCCCGCGCCAGCCGGGGAGUUGUGACGCAGCGUCUGGGGCUCCUGGCCGGGACAGAAGAGAGGGAAGGCGAGGUGGGGAGACUGGGAAACAGAGCAGCAAGAGAAAGGGCGCACGCUGGGGUCCUCCUGGACCCGGCCGAUCCACCUCUCCGCCACCCCUUUCUCUCCCGACGCUCUCGCCCCAGCCCCGCACCUCCUCCCCUUCCCCUCCCACGCUGCCCGCUUCCCUUUCCCUCUACCCCUCAAACCCUCCUCCCCGGUUCUGCGCUCCUCCCUCCGCCCUCCCUCCGCCCGGGCUGCCUCCUCCCUCCUCCUCCCCGGGAGGCAUCACUUCGUCCCGACCCGGAGGAGGACGCGAGCCCCUUGCGGGCGGUCAUCACAGCCCAGCCUCGGGGCUGCCACCACGCGUUGCGCCCGUGCGCCCUCGGUCCCCGCGUCC
rnacentral:lncRNA from 1 species